GACGUAGGGGGCGAGCGUUGUCCGGAUUUAUUGGGCGUAAAGCGCGCGCAGGCGGUUCGGAAAGUCGGAUGUGAAAAUCCGGGGCUCAACCCCGGACUUGCACCCGAUACUCCCGGACUGGAGGCAGGUAGGGGAGAGCGGAAUUCCCGGUGUAGCGGUGAAAUGCGCAGAUAUCGGGAAGAACACCGGUGGCGAAGGCGGCUCUCUGGGCCUGUCCUGACGCUCAGGCGCGAAAGCUAGGGGAGCGAACAGG
rnacentral:rRNA from 1 species